UCCAGCAUUAGCCAUGGAAAGGACACCGGGUCCCGUGUGCUUCUUGAUGAAGUUCUCGUCGGCGAACUUGGCUCCAUAGAUGGAUUCACCUCCGGUGCCGUUUCCGGCGGUGAAGUCGCCUCCUUGGCACAUAAAAUUAGGGAUCACACGGUGGAAAGAAGAGCCUUUGUAGUGGAGGGGUUUGCCGCUACGGCCGACACCUUUCUCACCGGUGCAAAGGGCACGGAAGUUCUCGGCCGU
rnacentral:lncRNA from 1 species